rnacentral:rRNA from 1 species
GAUGAACGCUGGCGGCGUGCUUAACACAUGCAAGUCGAACGGUGAAGGCGGAGCUUGCUCUGCUGGAUCAGUGGCGAACGGGUGAGUAACACGUGAGCAAUCUGCCCCUGACUCUGGGAUAAGCGCUGGAAACGGCGUCUAAUACUGGAUACGAGCUGCGAAGGCAUCUUCAGCAGCUGGAAAGAAUUUCGGUCAGGGAUGAGCUCGCGGCCUAUCAGCUUGUUGGUGAGGUAAUGGCUCACCAAGGCGUCGACGGGUAGCCGGCCUGAGAGGGUGACCGGCCACACUGGGACUGAGACACGGCGCAGACUCCUACGGGAGGCAGCAGUGGGGAAUAUUGCACAAUGGGCGAAAGCCUGAUGCAGCAACGCCGCGUGAGGGACGACGGCCUUCGGGUUGUAAACCUCUUUUAGCAGGGAAGAAGCGAAAGUGACGGUACCUGCAGAAAAAGCGCCGGCUAACUACGUG